GGACACGACUAAACGACUAAACAACAACAACAACAAAGCAACAUAUUUAGGUGGAAUUUUCAGUUUUGAUUCUGGUUUGCUCUCAAGUCAGUCCAUCAAACAUUCCCCCUAUGAAACUGCUCCGAUGUCGUAUGCAAUCCUAAUCCUUCUGGACUUCCUACUUCAGCUUCCCACAUGCUCUGCUACCAGUAAAGGGGAAUGGGAGUCGGCGUGGCAUACAGAUGAAAAAUAGACCUUGAUCAGAGACAGAUGUGUUGAAAUGGAAAGGGAGAAAAGGUCUGUUUACUUGUCUUUACAAACAUUGCUUGUGGGACUGCUCUUCUUCCGCUCUGUGUAUGCAGGUCUCAUUAGGAGAAUUUUGCAGCAGGGAAGGAAGGUAAUUGCAUACAUUUCAGUUUUCCAGGAACAGACUCUCAGCUCUAAUGGAAUCAUGGUUUUGAUGCACUUUCCUCAGCUUUCUGACUCAAUGAGAAAAAGCAGUGACUAGACUGGAGUGUUUGGCGUCACCGGCACAUCACCCAUGAGCCACAGAACUGCUCUUUGUACCCAAAUCAUAUUGCUUGCCCUUCUUGGAAUCUGCCAUUUCUUCCUUCUUUAGAGGAGACAGUCUGUACUUCCACACUGCUACUGUUAUUACAGGUUUGCAGUGUCAGUCUGAAUGAUAUUUGUGGGUACCUUCCAGCUAUGCCUUGAGGCUUCCCUGGAAACCUGAUGUGGAGGCAAGAUCUGUUAGAGUCUAUUAAUGAUGUGUGCUCUUCCAUCCAAUGCUGACAUUAUACAGCAUUGGGUCUAGCAUAGAGCAAAACAGCCUUCUGUGUUUCCAGCUUCCAGAAUCAGUCAAAACUUAUGAACAGAAAGCUCCCCUUGGCCUAUUGUUCCACAUCCUUGAUGGGAAAAGGCCCAACAAUUUGUCCAACAGAGCUCAUUCUCUAAUAACUGGUAUCUAUAAAUUUUACAUAAUACACAACUGUUUAUUGUACAUCAUAUUAGAUACCAUACGACUAUUAAUUACGUAUUAUCAACCUAUUUAUUUGAUUUAAGAAUGUUAUAUCUAUCUCAUGCAUUAUUGUAAACACUCAUGAAUAUCCACUAAUCACUACCCUCCAUACUUACAUUCAUAAUAAUAAUAAUAACAACAACAACAAACAAUAACAAUAACAAUAAUUUAUUUAUACCCCGCCCAUCUGGCUGGGUUUCCAUCGAUGAGCCAUAAUACAAUGCUUUCCACCAGAGAACUACAAGUGAAAAACUUUAAACUCAAAGGGUGUCCCAUAUCGACCUAGAGGAGAGCGUCCUAUAAUCAAUACCCCCCGUUCCACCCAGCCCCCACUAGCACCACAUUAGCCUAUAUACUGCCAUCGACAGUCUACCCCAUAAGGGCACAAUAGUAGACACGAUAGCCCCACUGCUAAUACCUCAGGUCAAGGUGUAGCAAAUGUGAGGGAAGAGAUUGGCUACAUUUUUAAUUAUAAAAAACAUGAAAAGCACUAUGAAACCCUGCAUGAAGGCAAAUUUAGUAGUAAAAUAGAUAAAGAGUAUCUCUUUUAACAAUGCUCUGGGAUGCACGCACACCACCCCUCACCCUCCUCAACAACCAAAUUCAACCUUUAUAAACUAAAAGUAGUAAAACAGAGGAGGUAAGUUGUAACAUGGUAAGUGUACCAAAAGGUGUGCUUGGACUAACAAAAAGUAGCCUAUUUAAAGCACCCAGCUUACAACUAGGAGAUGUCGCACAACCACGACUUUUUUGAGCCCCCAAAUAAGCCGACUAAACCCCUACAAAAUCACUUAACUAUACAUUAAACCAAACCAUUUACCUAGGUUAGUAAAGUAAAUGAGUUUAAACACCACCACCCAGCCUUAUAAGUACCGCAAGGGAGCAAUGAAAGAAUAAUGAAAAACUUUAAGCA